rnacentral:tRNA from 1 species
GGGCCCGUGGCGCAGCAUGGAUAGCGCAUCGGCCUUCUAAGCCGGGGGUCACGGGUUCAAAUCCCGUCGGGCCCGCCA